rnacentral:rRNA from 1 species
UACGUAGGGAGCAAGCGUUGUCCGGAAUCAUUGGGCGUAAAGAGCUCGUAGGCGGUGUGUCGCGUCGGCCGUGAAAACCUGGGGCUCAACUCUGGGCGUGCGGUCGAUACGGGCAUCACUUGAGUUCGGCAGGGGAGACUGGAAUUCCUGGUGUAGCGGUGAAAUGCGCAGAUAUCAGGAGGAACACCGGUGGCGAAGGCGGGAUCUCUGGGCCGAUGACUGACGCUGAGGAGCGAAAGCAUGGGUAGCGAACAGG